AUGGGAAUUGAUCCUGCGACUCCAGGAUCAUGCCUCAGGCCGAAGGCAGGCACUAAACCACUGAGCCGCCCAGAUAUCCCUCUUUUAUAUUUUAUAUAUAUUUUUUAUGAAGACAAAUAUGUGUAUUUAACAAAAAUUCUACUUAGAACUAUUCCUUUACUCUGCUUUCCUUAUGCAGGUUAUGUAAUAACUCCUCACAGUGUAGCAGACAUACACAUCAUGACAUUUCAGAGCUCUCUUCCAGUUACCAUGAUGGCUACAAGGCUGGAUGAUAGAGCCAUUAAUCAGUCCUCGCCCAGGUCACCUGUUGGUCCAACACUGACCCAUUUUCUACCAUGUUGUGGAAUCUACCAGAAGUACUCUCAAGAAACAGUGGAAUGCCAACAGGCAGAAGGGGAUGUGAAAGGCAACAGGGCUCCAGCAUCAUAUUUUCAUCAUUGACAAUGGAACCUGACAUAUGCUAAGCCCGUUUCUGAUUUAGGCAUUCAGUAAAAGGAAACUCUUUAUGAAGAGUUAAAUACAAAAAAUAUUCCUACAGUGAGUUAAAUCAUCAAGCAAACAUGGUUUAUAAAUAUUCCCAUCCCAUUGUUUUUGCAAGAAUGCAAGCCACACCUAAGAACACAUUCCUUAUUUUGUAGAGAAAUAUAUGGUGCUGCACACUUUGCUGCCACCGUGCCAAGACUUAUCCUUAAGUUUAAUUUCAACCUUCUUGUUUUCCCCUUGUGCUAUAGUAUGACUCCACAGUGCAUCCUUCCAUCUGUUGAAACAGAGAAGUGCUUGCAUUUUAGGCUGAGAUGACUAAUAUUCAUGAGGAACGAAUCCAAAUUCAAACUAAAUGCACAUUUUUGCAUUUGUCCAAACCUAGCCAUGAAUUAUCUCAGGCUAUCAAUAGAAGAAGAGAGAAGUUGCUAUCUGUAAAUCCCUAUUUGUUUUCCCAAAUUGCACCCUUGGCAAUGGGUGUGACAGAAAAAUGUUCAGUAUUCCUAGUAGUCUAACCUGCCAAGAGAGAUAAAGCCACUUUGAUGUCCUGGGACCAGAGACUAUACAGAUUUUUACCCAAAAUGUUUUUCAUAGGGAAGUGGGCUAAAACGACCUGCCUGCUUCACAGCCUUUUGACUCCAGGAGACAGACCUGUGGCCCUGCCGACCAGGAGGUGGCAGGUCUGACGUUGCUUGAACUUAAUAAUGAUAACUACCCUGGGCAAUAAUGAUGGUAGUGUUAAAAGCAAUAAUAUUAAAAGCUGGUAGAGUAAUAGUUAAUAUUAUCAAUGCUUCCAUUAUUUAUGUGAUUGCUAUGUUCCAGCUCCAUGCCAAAUAACUUGCACAUAUUAUUCCAUUUACUUCGUACCCUUUCCCUGUAAUGAAGCCAGUAAAGCUCAGAGUGGUUGCAUGCCAAAGGUACUCAGGACUGAGUAGCAGAGCAGAAAAGAACAGGGUAGCAG
rnacentral:lncRNA from 12 species